rnacentral:lncRNA from 1 species
CUCAAUCUCAUUUAAAGUAGUGUUAUCAUGCCAAAUUAGAGAGUGGAGGAGAAAAGGAGGCACGCCCUAGUGUUGUGCGCUAGAGAGAGAAAGAGAGAGAGAGAGAUAAGUUUGUCCAAGAGAGAGAGAGAGCGAGAGACUCCUGGUCCAAACCAUGGCCAUGAGCACUUAGGCCUCUGUAUUACUAUGCUCCACCAAGUUCUAUAGCCUUCAAUUCAAGCUCCAAAGCAUCACAUAAAGGUAUAAUCACUCCCUUGGUGCUCUUUACUACACCCUUUCAAGCCCUUGCUAUGCUCUCAUGAUCCGUUACCAUACUCCAAAGUUCUGCACCCAAAUUGGCUUGAAUUUGGCACCACGCAUCUACAUAAUCCUCUCUCUCUCUCUCUCUCUCUGCACUAAAUAAGUCCCCUAAUUGAUCCUAGAGUGCGUAUUUGAAGUUUCUAUUGUGAUUACCAUAUAUUAAGUGUGAUAGAGCUUGGAUCAUUGCGGUAUCGGUUGGAAAUCCAGUGGGGGUGUGAUAAGUCCGGGAAGGUAAUUCCAGGCAAAUUGCAUGAAUUUUGGCUUCCCAUAGCUCCUGCCUCCUAAGCACACAUUUGUUGAGUGUUUGUAAUAAUUGUGAUCGCAUUUGAGUGAUUGUUAUAUCCAAAAGUGUUUGAUGUAAUUAUAAAAAAAGUUUGUAUGUCUGAAUUUUACUUGUUUGUACAUUGUCAU